GAAGGAAGGGCUUGUUAUCUUCUCCCCGGUGGCUGUCUCUGCCUCGGCAAUUACAGUAACAGCGCCCCGGAGGAGGGGAGGGGAGCAGUAGCCGGAGGCCUGAGCCCCCCAACCGGGCCUCGCUCUCCGCCCGCGGGGAGUCGGGUCUGGCCCUGCGGUAGUCAGAGGGCUCUCGGGAGGAGAGGCUCGGUAUGGAGGUGUAUGGCCCCCUCCACCCAUAUCAGGGAGCAGUUAACACCCUUGCAGCCCAGAGAGAAGUGGGGGGCAGAGGAGCCUGGCGGCCUGUUUAGGUUAGGGGUCUCUGUCACCCCAGUGGGAAGGGAGUGGGUCCCUCUUGUUCUGGUUUCCCCCCGAUGUACUUAGGUGGAGCACAUUACAAGGAGGCACGCUUUGGGCAGAGAUGGCAAAUUCAUGCGGCCCAGUGGGGAGCUUCAUUAUGUGUGUGAGUGUUGCCCGUCUGUCUCCUUCUCCCAGCCCUAGCAGCCCGCAAGCCUGUGUGGUGACUUAAGAAUAUGACAAAGCAUAAUACCACAAGAGCAAAGACUGAAAGGAAAAAAAGAUUUCUGAUAGCUUUUUUUUUUUAAA